rnacentral:rRNA from 1 species
AUGUCAAGAUGCCUAGGGAUGUGUCAAGAAGUAGAUCACACACCAUCUAUAAUAUGAGAAGAAAUCUCUAAAAGUGCCAUAAAAAAAUCAGAUGUUGACAUAUCAUUUUGCUGUUACAAAUGUCAAAUAAAUUACCGCAAGAAAGAAAACAGCAUCUCUCUGAAUACUAACAUUAGAAAAGGUAAUCUGGUUUUGGUCACACCAUCAAUAAAUUAGAUAAACAUGACCGAAGCGCAAAGAAAUCAGAACUAAUCAGACCAUUCUCCAUGCAAAAACCAAACCAUACCAUGACCGAAGCGCUAAUAAAAAGUAGCAGGUAGUAUUCCCAGGGAGCAAAUAGACAAUCCCUUUUUGAAAUCAUGAUGCAUCCGGCCAUGACCGAAGCGCUAAUAAACAUCUAUCUGUAUAGUUCAAGGCUCUGAUAAUCAAACAUGUAUAAACCAACCAUUCAUUUUCCAAGGAUAAAACAAAGUUCAAAGCAGGCGAACACAAUUCUAGCAAGCACCCAGGCAUAGGAAUAUUUGAAAGCAGAUACUCAAACAUUUAUAUAUCAAAGCAGAACUCUGAAUAGCAACCAGGCAUAGGCAAAACAAUAGUUCUAACAAAAAAGAAAAUACAUACCAAAGUAAAAAAUAGGGUGUCAUCAAGAAUGCCUAAUUGUUCAAGUAUACAUUAUGGGCUGGGCUCAUGCCCAAUCACACAUAGAGCAUAAAUACAAAUUUGAGUUGAUUCAUUUAAAUACGGGAUCAGGAUAAUACAAAAAGAAGCAGACUGACAACAUACUUAUAUACCUAGAUAGACCCACC